GCAAGGUAUGACUCCAUCAACAUCAUGUUUACUCCUUUGCAGACCAGAGCUGCUGGUAAACUCCAGAACAGGAGACCCUUGAUCAUGUACAUGUUUCAGCCAGCCCAAAUUACCAUCAAUGGAGAGGAAAGAAGACACAGGAUGUAAAAUUGCCUAUAAAGCAUUAUGAUAU